rnacentral:rRNA from 1 species
GGUCAAGUGAAGAAGCGCAUACGGUGGAUGCCUUGGCAGUCAGAGGCGAUGAAAGACGUGGUAGCCUGCGAUAAGCUUUGGGGAGUCGGCAAACAGACUGUGAUCCAGAGAUCUCUGAAUGGGGGAACCCAGCCAGCAUAAGCUGGUUAUCUUGUACUGAAUACAUAGGUGCAAGAGGCGAACCAGGGGAACUGAAACAUCUAAGUACCCUGAGGAAAAGAAAUCAACCGAGAUUCCCUUAGUAGUGGCGAGCGAACGGGGACCAGCCCUUAAGUUGGUUUGAGAUUAGUGGAACGCUCUGGAAAGUGCGGCCAUAGUGGGUGAUAGCCCCGUACACGAAAAUCUCUUAUCAAUGAAAUCGAGUAGGACGGAGCACGAGAAACUUUGUCUGAAUAUGGGGGGACCAUCCUCCAAGGCUAAAUACUACUGACUGACCGAUAGUGAACUAGUACCGUGAGGGAAAGGCGAAAAGAACCCCGGAGAGGGGAGUGAAAUAGAUCCUGAAACCGUAUGCGUACAAGCAGUGGGAGCCUACUUUGUUAGGUGACUGCGUACCUUUUGUAUAAUGGGUCAGCGACUUAUAUUCAGUGGCGAGCUUAACCGAAUAGGGGAGGCGUAGCGAAAGCGAGUCUUAAUAGGGCGUUUAGUCGCUGGGUAUAGACCCGAAACCGGGCGAUCUAUCCAUGGGCAGGUUGAAGGUUAGGUAACACUGACUGGAGGACCGAACCGACUACCGUUGAAAAGUUAGCGGAUGACCUGUGGAUCGGAGUGAAAGGCUAAUCAAGCUCGGAGAUAGCUGGUUCUCCUCGAAAGCUAUUUAGGUAGCGCCUCAUGUAUCACUGUAGGGGGUAGAGCACUGUUUCGGCUAGGGGGUCAUCCCGACUUACCAAACCGAUGCAAACUCCGAAUACCUACAAGUGCCGAGCAUGGGAGACACACGGCGGGUGCUAACGUCCGUCGUGAAAAGGGAAACAACCCAGACCGUCAGCUAAGGUCCCAAAGUCAUGGUUAAGUGGGAAACGAUGUGGGAAGGCUUAGACAGCUAGGAGGUUGGCUUAGAAGCAGCCACCCUUUAAAGAAAGCGUAAUAGCUCACUAGUCGAGUCGGCCUGCGCGGAAGAUGUAACGGGGCUCAAACCAUGCACCGAAGCUA